CUCCAGGAUAGAAGACUCUGAAACUGGUUUGGGCCAGAAAGCCAUGCUUCAUUUAGUCACAAAGGACUUUUCCCUAACUUUUGAACCCCUGGUCUGAUUCGUGCCAUUUUUUAAUAUGUUGUUCCCCUGAAUGGAUUGAUUGUGAAUAUGUAAUUUUAUGUGAAUGUGAUGUAUGGUUUUAGAGUUAUGAAAGUUGGGUAGAAAGUAUGUUUUAACUGUAUGUGUAAUUGAGUUUCCUCUCAGGAUAAGGGGAGGGAAUAUGUGGG